UUCCCGAUUUUAAAGGAGUUAAUGGUUUAUAUUAGUUACUGUUUCACCAGUAUUAAUAAUAUAUUGUUGGUAGUGAAAUGUUAUUCGUCUUUAGUGGUUUCUGGUUUUUCAAGAAAUGAAUUUAAUUCAUGCAUCUUAUUUAAUUUCCGUUGUUUUUCCAUUUAUUUUUAUUUGAUGCUAAAAUUAAGGGGGAUUAGCUCCUUAUUUUGUUUUUAUAAUUGUUUAUUUUGAUUUAGUUUUGUGGAUUUUAUAGUGAUUUUCAAUUUGAUUAUGUUAAAAUUUUGUUAUUUAUUUUGUAAAUUUUUAUGUGAUUUAAGUUUUUAUUGAAAUGUUUUUUGUAUUUUUGGCUAAAUAGUAAUUAUUGUGUAAUUAGUAAAUUUGGGCUUUGUAUUAUUUUGAUGAGAAGUGCAUAAUUUCUUUUGAGGAAUUCGGCAAAGUUUUAUAUGUCCGCCUGUUUAACAAAAACAUCUUUUCUUGUUAGUUUUUGAAGUAUGGCCUGCCCACUGACUUUUUAGAGGUUGAAGGGCCGCGGUAUUUUGACCGUGCAAAGGUAGCAUAAUCAUUAGUUCUUUAAUUGUGAUCUGGUAUGAAUGGCUUGACGAGACAUAAGCUGUCUUAAAGGUAUUGUUUAUUGAAUUUAGUUUUUAAGUUAAAAUUCUUAGAUGUUUUUAUGGGACGAGAAGACCCUAUAGAGUUUGACACCUAGAUUUUCUUUUAUUGUUGUGUUUGUUUAUUUAUUUUGAGUUGAUUGGGUGUUUUGUUGGGGUGAUGAGAGGAAUAAAAUUUAACUCCUCUUUGAUUUUUUAUAUUUAUUUAUAUUUGUUUUGAUC
rnacentral:rRNA from 1 species